rnacentral:rRNA from 1 species
AACGAACGCUGGCGGCAUGCCUAACACAUGCAAGUCGAACGAGACCUUCGGGUCUAGUGGCGCACGGGUGCGUAACGCGUGGGAACCCGCCUUUAGGUUCGGAGUAACUCAGAGAAAUUUGAGCUAAUACCGGAUGAUGUCUUCGGACCAAAGAUUUAUCGCCUUUAGAUGGGCCCGCGUUGGAUUAGCUAGUUGGUGGGGUAAAGGCCUACCAAGGCGACGAUCCAUAGCUGGUCUGAGAGGAUGAUCAGCCACACUGGGACUGAGACACGGCCCAGACUCCUACGGGAGGCAGCAGUGGGGAAUAUUGGACAAUGGGCGAAAGCCUGAUCCAGCAAUGCCGCGUGAGUGAUGAAGGCCUUAGGGUUGUAAAGCUCUUUUACCCGAGAUGAUAAUGACAGUAUCGGGAGAAUAAGCUCCGGCUAACUCCGUGCCAGCCGCCGCAGUAAUAC